rfam:Nipponia nippon contig3774, whole genome shotgun sequence.
CACUUGGCUCUCUUCAGAGCCACUGAAGAGAAAUAGGCAAUUCUAG